UGGCUCAGUUGGUAGAGCAUGGUGUUUGCAACACGAGGGUUGUGGGUUCGAUUCCCAC
rfam:Salmo salar isolate Sally breed double haploid chromosome ssa01, whole genome shotgun sequence.